ACCUGGCUGGCUCAGUUGGUAGAGCAUGUGACUCUUGAUCUCGGGGUCAUGAGUUCAAGCCCCAUGUUGAGUG
rnacentral:tRNA from 1 species